rnacentral:tRNA from 1 species
UUCCUCCGGUGGGAAGGUUCGUGUGGCCGGUUUCGGUUCGGCUGGUGGGAAGGUCGGCGUGGCGGGGUGCCGUUCCUCCGGUGGGAA